rnacentral:rRNA from 1 species
UCUACGGGUGGCAGCAGUCGAGAAUAAUUCACAAUGGGGGAAACCCUGAUGGUGCGACGCCGCGUGGGUGAAUGAAGGUCUUCGGUUUGUAAACCCCUGUCAUGUGGGAGCAAAUUAAAAAGAUAGUACCACAAGAGGAAGAGGCGGCUAACUCUGUGGCAUCAGCCGCGGUACUAAAGAGGUCUCAAGCGUUGUUCGGAAUUACUGGGCGUAAAGCGUGCGGAGGCUGUUUAGAAAGUCGGGUGUGAACGCCGCGGGCUCAACCCGCGGACUGCCCCUGAUACUGCGAGACUAGCGUAAUGGAGGGGGAACUGGAAUUCCCGGUGUAGCAGUGGAAUGCGUAGAUAUCGAGAGGAACACUCGGGGCGAAGGCGGGUUCCUGGACAUUAACUGACGCUGAGGCACGAAGGCGAGGGGAGCGAAAGGGAUUAGAUACCCCUGUAGUC